GGGACUGAACUCUGCCCAAAGAAUGCCUGGCAAUUUUAUGUAUGGUGCAAUAUGUUCCUACCUAAUGGCGCCAGAUUUUAUACUGUCAGGUUGGCUGCUGUAACUUGGGCUAUUUGGUUGGCUCGGAACAAAGCUACUUUUGAGAAAAAUUUGAUCAAAUCUCCUUUUGAGAUUGUGUUCUCGGCGUGUUCUUUUCUUCUGUACUGAGCAGGUCUGCAGCCGGAGGAAGAAGCAAUGAAGCUGAAGCAGGGGACUGAGAUGAUCAGAUCGAGCACGGCCAGGCUGAUGGAGAUGUGCGAGAAGACCAGGCAGCCGGCAGAAGAUGCGAGAGAGGUGCUCCCUUGGUGA
rnacentral:rRNA from 1 species